AUACAUAUAAGUGUUAUUAGCUAUUAAAUUAUAUAGUAAUAUUAAAAGAGAUUGCGUUUCUAUCUGGGCAUAAUGAGUGCAUAGAGAUCGAUGUGUAAAACACCGAUGGCUCCUCGGCAAUUUUCUGAAACUCCUUCAAAAAGAAGUUUAUAGCAAAUAUGCAGGCGAAGAGAACAACUAAUCCGGAGAACGCAAUACGACCAAAGAGUAUGGAGAAUAUGUUGAGUUUAUAAUAAGGCACAAAUGCCAUGUCGUGAUCCGUCAUUCGCAUAUGCGGAGCUCCCUUGUGCCUUAGUACGUAUUCUGUCCACCAGAUGGCUCUCUCGAGGGCAGUCGUUGGUUGGUCGCGAAAACGCGUCGACAGCUCCUUGGCCUUAAGCGCAUAUAUGGGAUUCUGCAGAAGUUCUUUGAUGUUAUUCGUCAAAAGUUCCACUGUUAAAGUGUUAAUAUCCAGUUUACGAGCCACACCCAUCUUUAGCAUGCGCUCCACAUUGUCGAAUUGAUCGAAAUAGAUGGGCAAGGCCAACAUAGGCACUCCAGAGUGUGCUGCCUCAGUGGUGCUCAACAAGCCGCCAUGUGUGAUGAAUAGCUUCAUGUUCGGGUGCUCCAGCAGCUGACGCUGCGAAGCCAUGGGGCUCAAGAAGACGUUAUCCGACUUGUUGACCAUUGUAUGCAUCUCGUGUUUCCACACGACUCGCUGCUUCAGUUGUGAAAAGGUCUGCUGCAUCUUUUGUUCCAUAUUUUUGGGCAGCCAUCUGUUCAGAAUCUCCAUGCCCAUGGAAAAGUAAAUGACACCGUGCUCCGCCCCAUUAACAAAGUCCAGCAACUCCGGCUCGAGCGAUUCACUGGGUUCAGCCAUAUGCAUUCCCGCUACUUCGAUAACAUUCGGCACAUUGGAGCGAACGCGACCGAGGCUAAAGUGUUGAUUGAUCAUAAUCAGAGAAUAGCUUGUGCGUCGCUCGAAUAAACGCGACGAUGGCAGUUGAAAGUGUCGUGUGAACAGCUCCAGUUGUCCAGCGAAUCACCAUGAGAAUAGCCCAUUGGUUGUAUGGGUCUGUAAACACUUGGCGCCGAGUUUCCAGCCAAAUGAUCAAUCAACCAAGAGGAACCAAACGUAGACAAACCAACGAGGGAAGCAUUAAAAUGCUCUGCGAAUCCAAUAAGCGCAUCAGAAUACGUUGGCUCUACGACAAUCAUGUCGAAAUGCUCGGAUUUAUCAUGUAGCAACGAUUGCACUCCUGAAUCACUGAGAAUGGCGUGUGACAUGUUGUAAUGAAAGCUGGAGGCUACUAAAGAUUCCUUCCAUUUGCUGUACAAGCAAUCUGAAUAAUCAAAGUUCAUGAUGUCUGCAAAUGUAUAAAACGCCAAAGGCUCCUCCCGAAUUCUCUGAAGCUUCUUCCAGAUGAAAUGUACAACAAAAGCACAAGCGAGGACAAUAACGAAUGCAGAAAACGCAAUGCGAGCAAGAAGGACCGAGAAUAUAUUGAGUUUAUAGUACGGCGCAAAGGAAAUGUCAUCUUCUACCAUUCGCAUGUGAGGAGCUCCUUUGUGCCUUAGUACAUACUCCGUCCACCACAUGGCUGCCUCCAAUGGAGAGGUUGGUUGAUCGCGAAAGCGUUUGGACAUCUCCUCGGCCUUGAGCGUGUAAAUUGGAUUCUCUAGCAGUUCCUUAAUAGUACUCAUUACCUGCUCCUCUGUCAGAGUGUUGAUAUCCAACUUACGGGCUACGUCCAUCUUCACCAUACGUUCCACAUUAUCAAACUGAUCGAAAUAGAUGGGCAAACCCAACAUGGGAACUCCCGAGUAUGCUGCCUCGAUCGUGCUCAGAAGGCCGCCGUUUGUGAUGAAGAGCUUCACGUUGGCAUGUUCCAGCAGCUGACGUUGAGGUACAUUAUGACUCAAGUAGAUGUUUUCCGACUUAUUAAGCAUCGUGUGCUCUUCGUGCUUCCACACGACUCGCUGCUUCAGCUGUGCAAAAGUCUGCAGCAUCUUUUGUUCAAUGUUCUUCGGGAGCCAUCUGCUAAGAAUCUUCAUGCCCAUGGAAAAGUAAAUGACGCCGUGCUCCGCACCAUUCACAAAGUCAAGUAACUUUGGCUCAAGUGGCUCACUGGGCUCAGCCAUAUGUAUGCCAGCCACCUCAAUAACAUUGGGCACAUUGGAGCGAACGCGACCGAGGCUAAAGUGCUGAUUGAUCAACAUCAGGGAAUAGCUUGUGCGUCGCUCGAAUAAACGCGACGAUGGCAAUUGAAAGUAUCGUGUGAACAACUCCAGUUGUCCAGAGAAUCUCCAUGAGAAUAGCCGAUUGGCUGCACGGGUCUAUAGACACUUGGUGCCGAGUUUCCGGCUAAAUGAUCGGUCAACCAAGAGGAGCCAAACGUGGACAAUCCAACCAAGGAGGCACCAAAGUGCUCUGCGAAGCCAAUAAAAGCUUCCGAGUGCGUUGGCUCUAAGACGAUCAUGUCAAACUUUUCGGAUUUGUCGUGUAGCAGCGAUUGCACUCUUGAAUCGCUGAGAAUUCCGAUCGAAACGUUGUAAUAGAAACUGGAGGAUACCAACGAUUCUUUCCAUUUGCUGUAUAAACACUCUGAAAAAUCAAUGUUCAUGACAUCUAUGGGUAAAACACCGAAGGCGUCUCAGUGUUUCUUUGAAACUCCUUUAAAAAGAAGUUCACAACAAUAAUGCAGACGAGGAGAACAACGAACGCAGAGAACGCAAUGCGACUGAAGAGUACCGAGAAUAUGUUGAGUUUAUAAUAAGGCACAAAUGCCAUAUCCUGAUCCGUCAUUCGCAUGUGAGGAGCUCCCUUAUGCCUUAGUACGUAUUCUGUCCACCAGAUGGCGCUCUUAAUGGGACUUGUUGGCUGAUCCCGGAAGCGCUUGGACAUCUCCUUGGCCUUGAGCGUGUAAAUUGGAUUCUCUAGCAGUUCCUUGAUAUUACUCAUCAACUGCUCCUCUGUGGGAUUGUUAAUAUCCAGCUUACGAGCUAUGCCUACCUUCACCAUACGUUCUACAUUAUCAAACUGAUCAAAAUAGAUGGGCAUGCCCAACAUGGGAACUCCCGAGUAUAUUGAUUCGAUGGUGCUAAGGAGACCGCCGUUUGUGAUGAAGAGCUUCAUGUUGGGAUGUUCCAGCAGCUGACGCUGAGGUGCUAAGGAAGUCAAGUAGACGUUAUCCGACUUGUUAGGCAUUGCGUGCACAUCGUGCUUCCACACGACUCGCUGCUUUAGCUGUGAGAAUGUCUGGAGCAUCUUUUGUUUCAUGGUUUUGGGCAGCCAUGCUGUAAGAAUCUCCAUGCCCAUGGAAAAGUAAAUGACGCCGUGCUCCGCUCCAUUCACGAAGUCCAGCAACUCUGGUUCGAGCGGUUCACUGGGCGCUGCCAUAUGUAAACCGGCCACCUCGAUAACGUUGGGCACAUUCGACCGAACACGACCGAGGCUAAAGUGCGUAUUAAUCAUCAUAAGUGAGUAAGAUGUGCGCCGCUCUAAUAAAAGUGAUGAUGGAAGAUGAAAGAACUGUGUAAAAAAGUUCAACCUGGCCAGUGAAUUCCCAUGAGAAUAACCCAAUGGUUUGACGGGCUUGUAAACACUUGGCGCCGAGUUACCAGCUAGAUGAUCGGUCAACCAAGAGAAUCCAAAAGUCGACAAACCAACCAGAGAAGCAUUAAAGUGCACUGCGAAGCCGAUGAGAGCGUCGGAAUGCGUUGGCUCCAAAACGAUCAUGUCGAAGUGCUCGGAUUUAUCUUUUAGUAGCGAUUGCACUCCCGAAUCGCUGAGAAUGGCGUGUGACAUGUUAUAAUGAAAUCUGCAGGAUACCAAAGAUUCCUUCCACUUGCUGUUAGACCACUCUGAAUGAUCAAACGUCAAGACAACUGCAAAACACCGAAGGCUCUUCAGCGAUUCUUAGAAACUCCUUCGAGAUAAACUUCACAACAAUCACGCAGAUGAGGAGAACAAGGAUUGCA